AUUACCCAAUCCUGACACAGGGAGGUAGUGACAAGAAAUACCAAUACGAGGCAUUCAUGUCUAGUAAUUGGAAUGGGUGCAACUUAAAACGCUGCACGAGUAUCAAUUGGAGGGCAAGUCUGGUGCCAGCAGCCGCGGUAAUUCCAGCUCCAAUAGCGUAUAUUAAAGUUGUUGCGGUUAAAAAGCUCGUAGUUGGAUUUCUGUCAAAGGGUGUUCCUCCGCCCCUUGUGGUGAGUAGUGGACAUACCGUUGGCAUCUUCUUGGGGAGUGUAUCUGCUCUUUAUUGAGUGGUGCACAAGCCAGGACUUUUACUUUGAGGAAAUGAGAGUGUUUCAAGCAGGCUUGCGCCGUGAAUACGUUAGCAUGGAAUAAUAGCAUCGGACCUCGCUCCAAAGCUGUUGGUUUCUUGGGGCGAGGUAAAGGUGAAUAGGGAUUGUUGGGGGCAUUCGUAUUUAACUGUCAGAGGUGAAAUUCUUGGAUUUGUUGAAGACGGACUAUUGCGAAAGCAUCUGCCAAAGAUGUUCUCAUUGAUCAAGAACGAAAGUUAGGUGAUCGAAGACGAUCAGAUACCGUCCUAGUCUUAACCAUAAACUAUGCCGACUGGAGAUAGGAGGUCGUUAAACUUAUGACGCCUUCUGCAUCUUGAGAGAAAUCAAAGUCUUUGGGUUCCGGGGGGAGUAUGGUCGCAAGGCUGAAACUUAAAGGAAUUGACGGAAGGGCAC
rnacentral:rRNA from 1 species